rnacentral:rRNA from 1 species
CCUACGGGAGGCAGCAGUGAGGAAUAUUGGUCAAUGGACGAGAGUCUGAACCAGCCAAGUAGCGUGAAGGAUGAAUGCUCUAUGGGUUGUAAACUUCUUUUAUAUGGGAAUAAAAUGUUCCACGUGUGGGAUUUUGUAUGUACCAUAUGAAUAAGGAUCGGCUAACUCCGUGCCAGCAGCCGCGGUAAUACGGAGGAUCCGAGCGUUAUCCGGAUUUAGUGGGGUUAAAGGGAGCGUAGGUGGAUUGUUAAGUCAGUUGUGAAAGUUUGCGGCUCAACCGUAAAAUUGCAGUUGAAACUGGCAGUCUUGAGUACAGUAGAGGUGGGCGGAAUUCGUGGUGUAGCGGUGAAAUGCUUAGAUAUCACGAAGAACUCCGAUUGCGAAGGCAGCUCACUGGACUGCAACUGACACUGAGGCUCGAAAGUGUGGGUAUCAAACAGGAUUAGAUACCCGGGUAGUC